rnacentral:rRNA from 1 species
GUGGGGAAUAUUGGACAAUGGGCGAAAGCCUGAUCCAGCCAUGCCGCGUGUGUGAAGAAGGUCUUCGGAUUGUAAAGCACUUUAAGUUGGGAGGAAGGGCAGUAAGUUAAUACCUUGCUGUUUUGACGUUACCGACAGAAUAAGCACCGGCUAACUUCGUGCCAGCAGCCGCGGUAAUACGAAGGGUGCAAGCGUUAAUCGGAAUUACUGGGCGUAAAGCGCGCGUAGGUGGUUUUGUAAGUUGGAGGUGAAAUCCCCGGGCUCAACCUGGGAACUGCCUCCAAAACUGCAUGACUAGAGUACGGUAGAGGGUAGUGGAAUUUCCUGUGUAGCGGUGAAAUGCGUAGAUAUAGGAAGGAACACCAGUGGCGAAGGCGACUUACUGGACUGUAACUGACGCUGAGGCGCGAAAGUGUGGGGAGCAAACAGGAUUAGAUACCCGGGUAGUCC